rnacentral:rRNA from 1 species
AGUGAACGCUGGCGGUAGGCCUAACACAUGCAGGUCGAACGGCAGCACAGUAAGAGCUUGCUCUUACGGGUGGCGAGUGGCGGACGGGUGAGGAAUACAUCGGAAUCUACUUUUUCGUGGGGGAUAACGUAGGGAAACUUACGCUAAUACCGCAUACGACCUACGGGUGAAAGUAGGGGAUCUUCGGACCUUGCGCGAUUGAAUGAGCCGAUGUCGGAUUAGCUAGUUGGCGGGGUAAAGGCCCACCAAGGCGACGAUCCGUAGCUGGUCUGAGAGGAUGAUCAGCCACACUGGAACUGAGACACGGUCCAGACUCCUACGGGAGGCAGCAGUGGGGAAUAUUGGACAAUGGGCGCAAGCCUGAUCCAGCCAUACCGCGUGGGUGAAGAAGGCCUUCGGGUUGUAAAGCCCUUUUGUUGGGAAAGAAAAGCAGCAGGUUAAUACCCCGCUGUUCUGACGGUACCCAAAGAAUAAGCACCGGCUAACUUCGUG